rnacentral:ncRNA from 1 species
AUAGUUUGAUCCUGGCUCAGAAGGAACGCUAGCUAUAUACUUAAAACUUGAAGUAGAAAGUUGUUUUUAUAUAAGAGCUGGGAAGAAGGAAAAGAGGUUCCUAGAUAAAGGUAGCUUGUAUCACCCAGGAGGUGAGAAGAGUUGAGAACAAAGUGGCGAACGGGUGCGUAACGCGUGGGAAUCUACCAAAUAGUUCGCGCUAAAUCCUGCAGAAAGCUAAAAAGCAUUUUUUGAUGAGCCUGCAAAGUAUUAGGUAGUUGGUUAGGUAAACGCUGACAGACAAUUAUGCUUAGCUGGUCUUUUCAGAUGAUCAACCACACUGGGAGUGAGACACGGCCUCGACUCCCACCGGGGGCAGUAGUGGGCAAGUUUAGACAAUGGUGAAAGCCCAAUCCAGCUAAAUCGUGUGAAUGAAGAAGGGUAAUGCCGCUUUAAAAGCUUUUUCAUCGAGUACACAAUUAUGAUAGGACUCGAGGAAGAAGCCCCAGCUAACUCUGUGCCAGCAGCCACGAUAAUACGGGGGGGGCAAGUGUUCUUCGGAAUGACUGGGCGUAAAGGGCACGUAGGCGGUGAAUCGGGUUGAAAGUGAAAGCCGCCAAAAACUGGCGGAAUGCUCUCAAAACCAAUUCAUUUGAGUGAGACAGUGAAGAGUAGAAUUUUGUGUGAAGUGGUGAAAUCCGGAGAUCUACGAAGCAACGCCAAAAGAAAAGGUAGCUCUAUGGGUCCCUACAGACGCUGAGGUGUGAAAGUAUAGGGAGCGAACGAGGUUAGAUACCCUGGUAGUCCAUGCGCUAAACGAUAAGUGUUUACCCUUGGUCUACGUGGAUCAGGGGCCUACAUAACACGUGAAACACUCUGUCUAGAUAGAACGAUUGCAAGAAACUUAAAGAAAGUGGUUGAGUAUGUUGUUCAAUUCAAUACAACGCGCAAAACCUUACCAUCCCUUGAGAUAUGAACAGUAAAAGUUUUCCUUAACGGGAUGGUACUUACUUUCAUACAGGUGCUGCAUGGCUGUCGUCAGCUCGUGUCGUGAGAUGUUUGGUCAAGUCCUAUAACAAGUGAAAAUCUCGUGUUGUGUUUUUGAGACAUGCACCUAAGGAUAAUGUCUUUGCAACCAAUUGAGUGCGAGCACCUAGCUUUGCUGUCUGUAAGAACGUAGUCGGCGCCUUCCGAAGCACUUCCUAUUUCUAGUUAGCGUUGUUUUUUUAUUAUAGCUAGCGCAUUGACUAAUAAGAUAGAAAAGUCCUUUCUUUCUUUUUUUAAUAAAUUCAAGUUUUUGGUCUUAUCUUGCAGGUGACGACGACGUCAACUUUUACAGAAGAGAAAGACUCGACAUUCAGGCGACCCACUCGAUGGUGUGGUACGUACUGGGUUUAGUACGCCCCGCCCAUACAAACGACUCCAAAAUAAACAAAAAGGUGUGUGCCGCACUCCGAAAUACUUCCAGUUAUAUACUAUAGGAAAGUGGGGAUGACGUUAAGUGCGCAUGGCCCUUAUGGGUUGGUCCACACACGUGCUACAAUGGCAAUUACAAUGGGAAACAAGAAUGUAAGGCGGAUAGAUUCCGGAAAGAUUUCCACACUUUGGAUUGACCUCAGAAACUCGGGAACAUGAAGUUGGAAUCGCUAGUAAUCGCGGAUCAGUAUGUUGCAAUGAAUAUAUACCCAAACCCUGUACACAUUGCUCGUCACACUCUGGGACUUUUUUUCGCCCGAGGCAUAGGACCAAUGAUCAGCCAUGAAUUAUGUGGCACACUAGUGACACAAAGGCCUUUGGUGAUAUUAUUGGCACAUACAAAGGUGAAGUCUUCGAUUGAGGUGAAGUGAUAAGAAGGUAGUCGUAGGGGAACCUCUGGCUG